rnacentral:rRNA from 1 species
CACGUAGGCGGAUUGUUAAGUCGGGGGUGAAAUCCUGGAGCUCAACUCCAGAACUGCCUUCGAUACUGGCGAUCUCGAGUUCGGGAGAGGUGAGUGGAACUGCGAGUGUAGAGGUGAAAUUCGUAGAUAUUCGCAAGAACACCAGUGGCGAAGGCGGCUCACUGGCCCGAUACUGACGCUGAGGUGAAGACGUGGGAGGGCAAACAA